rnacentral:rRNA from 1 species
AUACGGAGGGUGCAAGCGUUAAUCGGAAUCACUGGGCGUAAAGCGCGCGCAGGCGGUCUUUUAAGUUGGAUGUGAAAGCCUACGGCUCAACCGUAGAACUGCAUCCAAAACUAUUAGACUAGAGUGUGGGAGAGGAAGAUGGAAUUAGUUGUGUAGGGGUAAAAUCCGUAGAGAUAACUAGGAAUACCAAAAGCGAAGGCAAUCUUCUGGAACACUACUGACGCUGAGGCGCGAAAGCGUGGGGAGCAAACAGGAGUAGAUACCCUAGUAGUCC